rnacentral:rRNA from 1 species
CCUACGGGAGGCAGCAGUGAGGAAUAUUGGGCAAUGGACGAGAGUCUGAACCAGCCAAGUAGCGUGAAGGAUGACUGCCCUAUGGGUUGUAAACUUCUUUUAUAUGGGAAUAAAAUGUUCCACGUGUGGGAUUUUGUAUGUACCAUAUGAAUAAGGAUCGGCUAACUCCGUGCCAGCAGCCGCGGUAAUACGGAGGAUCCGAGCGUUGUCCGGAUUUAUUGGGUUUAAAGGGAGCGUAGGUGGAUUGUUAAGUCAGUUGUGAAAGUUUGCGGCUCAACCGUAAAAUUGCAGUUGAAACUGGCAGUCUUGAGUACAGUAGAGGUGGGCGGAAUUCGUGGUGUAGCGGUGGAAUGCUUAGAUAUCACGAAGAACUCCGAUUGCGAAGGCAGCUCACUGGACUGCAACUGACACUGAGGCUCGAAAGUGUGGGUAUCAAACAGGAUUAGAUACCCUUGUAGUC